CUCGCCUGCCCAAUGAAGUUUUAAAUGGCUGCGGUAUUUUGACCGUACUAAGGUAGCAUAAUCAUUAGUUUUUUAAUUGAAAGCUAGAAUGAAGGGUUGGAUGAAAAAUUAUCUUUCUAAAAUAAAUUUAAUUAGAAUUUUAUUUUUAAGUUAAAAAGCUUAAAUAUUAUUAAAAGACGAGAAGACCCUAUAGAGUUUAAUAAAUUAUAUAAAUAUAUUAUAUUUAUAUUAUUUAUUUAAUUGGGGUGAUUUAAAAAUUUAAUAAACUUUUUUUUUAUAGUUAUAUAAAUUAAUAAUUAUUUGAUCCAAAUAUUUUGAUUAAAAGACUAAAUUACCUUAGGGAUAACAGCGUAAUAUUACUUAAAAGUUCAAAUUUAAAGUAAAGAUUGCGACCUCGAUGUUGGAUUAAA
rnacentral:rRNA from 1 species